GAUGAACGCUGGCGGCGUGCCUAAUACAUGCAAGUCGAGCGAACGGACGAGAAGCUUGCUUCUCUGAUGUUAGCGGCGGACGGGUGAGUAACACGUGGAUAACCUACCUAUAAGACUGGGAUAACUUCGGGAAACCGGAGCUAAUACCGGAUAAUAUUUUGAACCGCAUGGUUCAAAAGUGAAAGACGGUCUUGCUGUCACUUAUAGAUGGAUCCGCGCUGCAUUAGCUAGUUGGUAAGGUGACGGCUUACCAAGGCAACGAUGCAUAGCCGACCUGAGAGGGUGAUCGGCCACACUGGAACUGAGACACGGUCCAGACUCCUACGGGAGGCAGCAGUAGGGAAUCUUCCGCAAUGGGCGAAAGCCUGAUGGAGCAACGCCGCGUGAGUGAUGAAGGUCUUCGGAUCGUAAAACUCUGUUAUUAGGGAAGAACAUAUGUGUAAGUAACUGUGCACAUCUUGACGGUACCUAAUCAGAAAGCCACGGCUAACUACGUG
rnacentral:rRNA from 1 species